AGAAAGUACUUUAUCAAAUUAAAUAAACCUAACUAUAACCAUAAACCUCAUCAUAGGAUUUAAGGCACGUUUGGCACAUUGUAUUACUAGGUAUUAAAGGAAAGAUAUUAUAUAAUACAAUGUUUAGCUCGUUAAGAUAUUGUAUUAUGCAAUGUAGAGCGUGUUUCUUAAUGCGGUUGGUGGUGUAUUAGUAAUACACAUCUUUUUCCUCGUAUAAUCUAAUACAACAACUACUGUAACUACAUCGCUUCUCCUCCCACUGAUUUCUAUCUCAGCAAAUAAGUCUUCUCCAAUUCUUCUUUUUUUUCUCGUUAAUAAAUCUUUUCUUUUUGGAUUCCUUUUUUUUUUCUUUGUAUUAUUUUUUUUUUCUCACAUCUCAUCUAUAAAUUAUUAAAGAAAAUCAGAACAUGAUAGAUCUGCAAUCUAUCUUCACCAAUUUUUUUUUUCUGCUUUCAAUAAAGCAUCGAGUUGAUGGUUUCCUUUUUUCUCUCUGUAUUUUUUUUCUCACUCUCAUCUUCAAUUUUUUCCUUCUUUUUAUCUGUCGAUUACAAGAAAAAAACAGAACAUUCGUGAUCUGUCUUCUCCCAACCUUUACACAUAGAUUGAUCUCUGAAUCAUCUGUUGGGAAGGAGAAAAAAGUAUCAUGGUAAACACCUAGCAAUUGGGAAACAUUGCAUGCCAACCGUUUGACAAAUUGUCUAUGAAGACUAAUGUUUAUUUACUAUUGCAUAGAGGAUGGUCAUCUUUGUUGCUUAUGGUUUAUGAUGAGGAGGAAAGAUAGAGUGUCUUAUAUGGCUUUCUUUAUUUAUUCAUAGUAUUGAUUCUUUUGAUGUUCUGUAAAAGUAUUUUUUUCCCCAUAUUUUACUUUGGUUGUGUAAUAUAAUGACAAUUCGUAAA